rnacentral:rRNA from 1 species
CCUACGGGUGACAGCAGUGGGGAAUAUUGGGCAAUGGGCGCAAGCCUGACCCAGCAACGCCGCGUGAAGGAAGAAGUCUUUCGGGUUGUAAACUUCUUUUCUGAGGGACGAAGAAAGUGACGGUACUUCAGGAAUAAGCCACGGCUAACUACGUGCCAUCAGCCGCGGUAAUACGUAGGCGGCAAGCGUCAUCCGGAUUUAUUGGGUAUAAAGGGAGUGUAGGCGGGAAAGCAAGUCAGAUGUGAAAACUCAGGGCUCAACCCUGAGACUGAAGUUGAAACUGGUUUGCUUGAGUUCUGGAGAGGCAAGCGGAAUUCCGUGUGUAGCGGUGAAAUGCGUAGAUAUAAGGAGGAACACCAGUGGCGAAGGCGGAUUGAUGGACAGUAACUGACGCUGAGGCGCGAAAGCGUGGGGAGCAAACAGGAUUAGAUACCCCGGUAGUC